UACAGAGGUCUCAAGCGUUGUUCGGAUUCAUUGGGCGUAAAGGGUGUGUAGGUGGCGCGGUAAGUCGGGUGUGAAAUCUUGGAGCUUAACUCCGAAACUGCAUUCGAUACUGCCGUGCUUGAGGACUGGAGAGGAGACUGGAAUUUACGGUGUAGCGGUGAAAUGCGUAGAUAUCGUAAGGAAGACCAGUGGCGAAGGCGGGUCUCUGGACAGUUCCUGACGCUGAGGCACGAAGGCCAGGGGAGCAAACGGG
rnacentral:rRNA from 1 species